UUCUAGUGGUAUAUGUGCUGCUGAUUGUGUAUGCACGGCUUGUUGCGCAACCUUAGAACCUUGAUGAGAACACAAGUGGGUUAUUUAUACAUAUUUUCUUUCAAAUUCCGUUUUGAAUGCGUCAAUAAAUAAAAUAAAGAGGGCUGCUGUUAAGAUGGGUGGGGGAGAGCGUUUUCGAGAAACAAGAGAGAAGACCAGAGAGAGCGAAACCCAACCAAUCUCAUUCUUCUUCUUCAAUUAUUUUCUCUAUUUUCUUCUUUAGAACCAAAAGCCCGUUUUAGUGCAGUUCUUCUUCUUCUUCCAUUUUGUUUUUCCUCUUUCUCGGAUCAAACCCUAGAACCGUGAGCAAUGAAGAUUGGGGGUUGCCAAGAGUAGAGUUAUUGCAUGAAUUGGUGAAUUGAGAGGCCGCCGUAAGGACUUUGGAUCAAGGUAUGAGGAGUUGUUUAAUUGUGUGUGUUGAAUGGCAUGCUUCUCUCUAUUUAUUUGUGUUCGCUCGAGUAUUAUAUAAUGGGAAUUGAGUUAUUAAAUGUUCAAAUGACUGGGAAGAGGUAUUGAAGAAUUGAGUAUGAGAAAUGUGUUAAAUUGAUGUUUGAGUUGUAUUGGAGUUAAGAAAAAUGAAAGUUCUCCUCUGUUCACUCUUUGGCGAUUAGUAAAAUGUGAUUAUGCAUAUGUUUCUUGAUUCGUACCUUUUUCUAUGGUUACUGUAAUAUUGGAUAUUAUAAGGUAUGGUUUCUCUUAAAAGGAAAGAAGAACAGGAUAGUUGUUUUGUAGAAACAAAUAUAUAAUGAGUUCUGUUUUCAAUUUUAUAAAUCAAGAAGUUGGUAUCUAUAGUUUAAUUAAAGAUGGCAAAUUGAUGAAUGCUUUGUGGUGUUUAAUAUUUCUGAACUGGAAUUGUGGUAGGAAUCUUGAAUGCGUUAGUUUAGAUUUUCUUUCUAUCUUUCCGUGUAAUCUUCCACAAUGGUAUGUUAAUGGAUUCUGGUGUUCUAAGGGAUGCUUUGGGUUGGUUGUGUUAUAACUAUAGCUAUUUUAUUUGAGCAUAUGGGUUGCGUGAAUGGGUUUGGUGACUCUGUUAUGCAUGAGUGAGACUAGUUCUUAGUGUAAAUAUAGAACAACUUGGAUGAAGUAAUUGCUUGUUUUGUUGAGUUCAUGAUUUAAAAUCUGAUUGUUACUAGUUGAAGGAACCUAAGUGCAUCACUGUAAUCGUUAUAUACAUGUUUUAGCUAAUAGAAUUAGGAUGGUUGUCCUGUAAAACUUUAACUGCAUACUCCAUAAAUACAAUGUCUUGUAAGGGUUAAGACUUUAUGUGUUACUAUGUUUGAGUUAAUUAGAGUUCUUUUAGACUAAUAAUUAAUGACCUGUGGGUAUACAUCACGUGGAAUAUAAACUCAAAUUGUUUUACAUUGCCUAUAGUUUUAGAAUUUAUUUUAUUGUUGAAACAGGGUCAUAUGUGAUUCAAAUGAUACCAGAAAUACAUGCUUGCUGUUAUGAGGCGAUUCGGAUGAUUAGAAUUGGUUGUAAACUAAGCUAAUACCGUGAGAAUAUAUUUUGGUGUUGUGUGUGUAUUAAUACUGGUAGUAUGUCUUUAGAUUGUCAAUUGAUGUUAUAUAGUUUAUAAAAAUAAAAAUAAAAUGAGGCACAAUGUUGUUUGAACUAAUGUAAGAGUUCAGAUUGUUAGGAUAUCAUUAUUCUUAAGUUGAUAAUGAAUUACUAAACUGAUUGGAUAUGUUUAGUUGGAUGCUUGAUAAUGUACGGUUAAAUUUAUUGUUGCCUGUUGAGAUUUGGAUUUGAGUUAGAGAGUUGGUGGGUGUGGAUAGAAGUUUAAAUUUCUUUAAUACCUAUAUUGUUUAUGUUAUAUGGAUGAAAUUAAUGAUUGACACGUUGAAGAAUUCUCUUGGUACUUGAGAGAAUGAAUUAUAGACUUUGGAAGACUUGAUAAUGUUGCUUAAUUUUUAAUUUAGAAAGUUAAAUAUAAGGAUGUAAUGUGUGUAAGGUAAUUUGGUAUUAUUUGAAAUUAUCUUUAAAUUCUAAAAUUGGGUCAACUGCUGAAGGAAAUACUGCUAUGUGGAUUGAACAAACAAUGAAAUAUGAACUUAAGGUAAGGAUGUCAUCAUUGAAUUGUGAAUUAGCGUGUGAAUUAGCCUGUCAUUAUUGUACAGGAUUGAAAUAUUAAGUUAUUUAAAUAUUAUAUGCUGUGAAACGUGUUAAAGUGAGAAUGAAGGUAUAUACUGAUACAAUUUUUUUUAUUUAAAUGAUUAGUUUAGUUAAAAUUAGUUAAAAUUGUAAGUAAUCGGCAAUAGUAUAUUUUUUUAAUCUGUUUUGGUAAGUGUUAAUAAGUUCAAGUUAAAAUGUCUGACAUAGAUUCUAGUAUUUCAGAAUUUAGGAAAAAUUGGGAUAAGAGUUUAUAAUAAACUAUGAUAUAUAUAUAUAUAUAUAUAUAUAUAUAUAUAUAUAUAUAUAUAUAUAUAUAAUACGAAAUAUUCAUUAAGUAAAGAUUAAGUUUCGAUAUAUAUUAUUAAGUAGUUCAGAUAAUUGGUUAAUGGUUUGUGAUUGAUUAUGCUUGGGUUUCUGAAAAAGUGACCUUAUUUGAUUGUUAAAUCUAUAUGGGACCCAAUGUGUGGAAUUCGACUGUAUGUUUAAUUGAUAAUUAAACACAUUACAUUUUAUGGUUCUUAUAGUGCCAAGUCUCUAGAAAGUUUUGAAGGAAAAUUUGUUACUUGUAAAUGAAAUGAUUUGAUGACUACAAUUAUACACCCUUUAUAAGCUUGACUCAUCUUUGAUUGGUUGUCUGAAUAUGAAAAUAUUGGGAUUGAUGUAUUGUUAUGAUAACAAACCGUCAGUUUUGGUUUCGGUGUACACUAUUUAAUGAUUCUUUGGGUUCGUGGAUACUGUUAUAUGAUUGUAGUUGAAUUGGAAAUGUGUUUGAAUUGUUAAAUGAUGUUAGAAGUAUGAGUUAUUGAUGUUAAUGUGUUAGUAAAUUUAUUUUGCCAUAUUAUAAUCCAUAUUGAUACAGUGGAUCAUAAAUGUUGUGAAAUUUCAGAUCUGGAGACUUGUUUUAAAGACUGUUUUAAUAAUUAUAAUUAUUGUUAUUAAAUUCAAAUGUUUGAACCAAUAUUAUUUUAGUAUGGAACGUUAGGUAUAUUAAGAUUAAUGGUAUGAUGUAUUCUAAUAAAAGUGCUUUGUAUGUAAAGUUAGUAUAAUGAUGUACGAUCAUGGUAAUGUAAUUGGAUAGUUGGUUGCUAGUUAAUUAGUCCAAAUAUAAAAUGUCUAUAAAUAAGAGUUGAUUAAUAUUGAUGUAGAUGUUGGUACGUGUAUAUCUUAUUUUCUUAAAAUGUUUAAUUUAUUGAAUGCUUAAGUUAUCCAUUAAAUUGUGUUUUGUCUGUGUGUGCCGUGUGUGCCUUUGCGGUGACGGUAUAACGUAUGUUAUAAGAGUGCUCAAAUAGGAAUGUAGAUGACUUAUACAGAUGCAGAAGAUUAUUUUGAAAAUGUGUCAUACGUAUUAAAUACAUGGUUUUAAAUUGUUCUGUAGUUGUAUACUUUCAUAUUUAAUCAUUGAGAUGUAAAUAUUAAAUAACCUUGAUGUGGAAUAUGGAAGAAAUUCUGAUAGAUUAAAAUAGAAUGAUUAUAUUCAUGAUUGUGAAAAGUUUAAAUUUUUACACUUUUUCAUGAAAUUGAAAUUAAGGGUGUUACAAUACACUCCUUUUACCUCCUCGUAUACUCUUUCUAUCGCUAUUGUACAUCUUUUCUCUACAAUUUUCUAAUCUAUAUCUUUCUUACAUCUUUCUUACAACUAUUUUAUAUUCUCCUUGCACCAUUCUACUCUCACAAUUUUUUUAAUAUCUUUUCUACACUCUUUUUACAUAAUUUUUACACUCUUUUUACAUGAUUUCUACACCUUUUCUUUCUACAACCUAAUUCACCAUUUCUACACUCUUUUCACAUUCUUCUUACAACCUUUCAACAACUUUCCUACACAGUUCUUACACUAUUCUUACAACAUUUUUUACAAUUUUUCUAUACCUUUCUUAUACCUUUUAUAUAUCUUUUUACAUCUUUCUUACAUCUUUUAUAUAUUUUUUUACACCUUUCCUACACUUGCUAUACUCUUCUUACAUUCUUCCUACACCUAUUCUAUAUCUUUCUUACAUUUUUCUUACAACCUUGUUACACUUUUUUUACACCAUUCUUACUUUAUUCUUACAACUUACCUACAUUUUUCAUAUUCUUUUUGUACACUAUUUGUAUACCAUUUCUAUACGUUUUUGACACUCUUUCUACAACCUAAUACACCUUUCCUACACUUCUUUACCUCUUUUCUAUAUUCUUUUUACUUCCUUUGUCCAACUUUCCUCUACUCUUGCCAUGCUCUUCUCACACCCUUCCUACAUCUAUUUUAUACCUUUCUAACAUCCUUCUUGCAACCUUCUUCCACUCUUCUUACACAAUUCUUACAACAUUCCUAUAUAUUUCUUAUACCUUUUUACAACUUAAUACACCCUUUUUAUACUCUUCCCACAUCCCUUUUACAACCUUCUUAUACACUUUUUACACCCUUCCUACAACAUUUAUACACUUUUUUUACAUCCUUCGUAUAUCUUUUCUACACGUUUUUUUACUCUCUUACACUUUUUCUAAAUCCUUUGUACACUUUUCAUCUACCCUUGCUAUAAUCUUGUUAUACCCAUCCUACACCUAUUAUAUACCCUUCUUACAUCCUAUGUAUGACCUUCUUACACUCUUCUUACAAUUUUCUUACACUCUUCUUACAUCAUUCCUACUACCUUUCUACAAUUUUCUUACACUUUUUUUACACCCAGAUGACAAUCCCUUUAGGGACUUCCCAUCUAAAGAAGUAACAACUUAAACUAAGACUAAAGAAAGGGAAGUAAAAUAAAGAUUUCUAAAGCUCUUUCCUUAUCUAAGUCUUAGAUAGAUUCUCUUUAACUAAAUGCAUUUACAUUGUUUUGUAGGACACUAAUAAAGGUUGGAAACCAUGUCUAUGCAUCCUAAGAAGGUUGCCAAGCAAGGGAGAGCAAAGGACGAAAAGAAGAGUGGCAAUUAAGUGACUUCUGGAUUGGGAAAAUCAGCUAGCGCUCAACGGAGCUUGUUCUACCGCUUAGCGGCAACAGAUCAUCUCACUUCUUCAUGCACGUGUUAAAUGUGUUUCGCCUGGAAAAUGCAACCCACGCUGGCUAGCUUCUUCAGCACAUGUCAUUUAGUAUUUGAGUAGCUUCCCUUGCACGAUUCAGAGCUUCUCUCCAUCUAUAAAAGAGAACUUUGAUCCUUUGUAAAGAUUAACUCGAGUGAUAUAGUGAAACGCUACUGAAUUGAAUUUCUAGCCACUUCUCUCGAGUUCAUAGCUUUGUGCCAGUUUAGCACACUCAUCCUCUAGCUUCCUUCGCUUUCGGAAGGCUUUUUGAGUUAGAGCAACUGCGUACACGCCUCCAAACACCAUGACACAUUUUCACAAACACCUUGCCUGCAUCGUUGUUCUCCUUCAUUUCUACACUCCAUUGCAACAUUCUGGUCUAAGGAGUCGUCUAGUCUUGGAGAUUGGAACUGCUUCUAUCAUUUGGCAUCUAGAGCCUAGUCGUCCGCACGUGAUUUCAAGAGCUAAGCCACUCUUCCUUUCAUUUUCUUCUUUCCGUGUUGUAUUGUUCCAUUAAGCCAUUGUUCGAUUUUUUUUUUCGUUAUUAUUUUGAUUCAAUUCGUGUUUUCUGUGGUUGUUUGAUUCCAUUCAGUGUUCCAUAGCAUGUGUUCUUCAUUUUAAUCGGUGCAUUUCCAUUGUUUGAGUUCAAUUCAUCUUAAUUCAUCAUUUCAAGUUGUGUCACGGUCAUGUGCAAAUUCUUUUGCAGUUUUUACCUCUGUCACAAUGUUUAAAUCUGUUCACCCCUUGAAUUUUUCGUUUUGAUUGAGUAAAGUGCAUGUGCUAGCUAUAUGUUGAUUAUAUAAAGCAAUGACAUUAAGUUCAACUUUGAUCAUUUGAGCUAACAGCAGUGCACAUUGUUUUCUAGUUGGAAAUUCUGCAGAAAAAUUCAAUUUUUGGUUUAAUAUACUGUAAUGAUUUUGUCCAGAAUUUUGUGUUCUUAAGCUUGGUGCAAGUUUCUUUGGUGUUGUUAAACAUUGCUAGAAGUAUAACAACUCAUAUCAAUCACAGUUUUGCAAAAUGAAUGAUUGAGUUGAUUAAUUUUUGGUUUCCAAACUGUUAUAGUAUUUUCCACAAGUUUUUGCACCGUGCUUGAAUCAUUGCCAUGUCUUAGGCCAUUUUACUUCUCCUAGCUCACAUGUUCAAGCUAGAUUUAGUUGCUCAGGACCUUUCUUACAUGUUUCUUGAACAAUCCAGCAUUGAUUCACAUGAAUUUCCAAUGCUGUUGCAGUUUUGCCUUAUUUUUAUGCAUUUUUAAGCAACUGCCAUUGUCAAUUGUUUAAUUUGUGCAUGUUUGUACUGUGUGAACGUUUGUGCAAGUAUAAUUGACCAUUACAAACUUAUUGUUAUUGUUCAUAUGGUCAUUUUUGAGCCUUUCCGAAAAAAAAAACACCAUCCAAAGCAUCAAGUUUUGUUAAAUUUGGAAGUCAACCAGUGAAAUUCUGAAAUGGACUUUGCCUUGGCUGUUUAAGUGUUUGCACACAUUCCAUAUGAUGAUAUAAACCUGUUUGAAGUGUCAUUUGAACAUUUGAAUCAUUGCCAUUCAUUUUGGACACUGCUGUUAUCAUUUUGCAGCCACAUUUUUUUUUCUGGUUUGCAUUCUUUGCUAUUUACAUUUUGUUUUUCAAAUAUUGUUUUGCAAUUUGGAUUGGCAAAAGCUGGGGAUUCUGUUUCUAGAUAUAUUCCAAUGCUUAUACAAGUGUAAACAAAUAAUAAAAAACAAAUAAACCCUUGCAAUCCAGUUUGGAAGAAUAAAAAACCAGAAAACACCAAAACUGCAUCUCUUUGUGGCAUUUCAUUUUUAAAAGUUUUGAAUUUUCAUCAAACACUUUCAUUGCACACGAUUCAUUCACUAUUUUGUGUUUUUUUAUUGCUUUUGUGAUAUGUUCUAGACCCUUUUUUAGGUUUCUUUUGCGUCCCACCUCUUAUUCAAGCCUAGAAAUCAUUAAAAUUCAAUUUUAUUUGGCUUUCCACUAUGUUGUCAAACUGGUUUUUCAAUCCAAAAUCUGGUGCAAUGCAAGUUUUUGUGCUAAUUGUUUGUUGUUGGUAUAUGGUUAUGUGAAGUAUUGGUGCAGUUUCUCUGUUUCAAAUUCCUUGCUCCAAGGGGGUAGCAUCUUAGGAGUGGAUGAGGUGUUAAAAGGGAUACAAGCGUGCAACUCCAAGGGCCACUUUGCCUUGCACAAUCAAAAGCAAAAUUCAGCAGCCACACCACCUUUUGGUCAUCUAUUUGGAACAGCACAUAGUGACACAAUAGCCACACUUGGCUUUGCUAUUUUUGUAAACACUUUUACUUGUAAUUUUGUGUUAUAUCACUGAACUUUGUGUGUAAUUUUUCUUUUACUUUUGAAACUUAAGUGGCUUGAGAAAAUGCUUUGCUAGCAAUUCCAAGUUCACCAUUAAACAUUGUAAUAGUCUAGUUUCCACAUCUUAGUGUGAAAGUGUGUCAAGUGACUCCAAGUGUCACUUGCACUUUCACUUAGGGCCUUGUCUCAUUCUUCCUCUUCAUUUUGCAUUCUCUCUUUACUUUUGCUUGAUUGUUUAAUUUCUGUUUACGUCUCUGUGAUAUCUAGGUGCACGUUCAUAUAGAUAAACCUUUGUUUGGUUUCUAGGUGCAUCUCAUACUUGCAUUCCAAAAAGUUUUUGAAAGACUUUUACCUAGAAACUUGGGUAAGAAAUGUCAAGAGAAACUCUGACUAAGGAAGGACAAGGUUCUUAAGCCUGUCCAUUGUGACUCAUCUCUCCUUUUUGGGAGCUAUUUGGUUUCUAUUACCUUUAGACUCUUUCUAGAAGUCAUUCACCAAACCCUUUUGCACCCUUUCUACAUAUUUUUAAAAAUAGGUACAAUGGGUGUAUACCCUUUAUAUACCCUUUCUACACCUUUUAUACACACCCUUGUAUAUAAAGUGGUAUAAAGAUUUAGAAAACGUGUACAACACGUGUAUAAAGUGCUUACUAAAAGGUUUAAAAGUGUUGUACAAGGAUUUAUAAACGGAGUAUAAAGGGUGUACAAAAGGUGUACAAAGGGUGUCUAAAAGUUGUACAAAGGGUAUACACUCAUUGUACACACUUUGUACAUCCUUUAUACAUCUCUUGUACACCUUUUAUAAACCUUUUGUAUUCACUUUAUACACACAUUUUACAUCCUUUCUAAAUCUUUCUUCAUCUUCCUACACUCUUACUAAACCCUUUCAACACUAUUUCUACACCUUUUCUACAUCACUUCCAACCUUUUUAUAUACCAUUUGUGUACCCUCCUGCACCUUUUCUACAAAUUUUUGAAAAUGAUGUAGAAUGAGUGUACAUUCUUUAUAUACCAAUUAUUCACCCUUUAUACAUCUUUUCGGUACACCCUUUAUGCAUCCUUUAAACACCCUUUAUAAACCUUUUAUCCACCUUUUUCACACACUUUGUAUACCUUUCCUACACUAUUUUAACACAUCUUUCUACCCUCUUUAUAUAACCUUUUUAUACUUUUCUAUAGCAUUUCUACAUCUUUUUUAAAAAGAGAUAGAAUGGGUCUACACCCUUUGUACACUCUUUAUACACCUUUUGUACAUCCUUUAUACACCCUUUAUACAACAUUUGUAAACCCUUUGGACUUACUUUAUACACACAUUGUACACGAUUUCUACAUAUUUCUUAAUCUUCUUACACCCUUACUAAACCUUUUCAGCACUCUUUUUACACUCUUUCUACAUACUUUCUGACCCCUUUAAAUACCAUUUAUGCACCCUUCUGCGCCCUUUCUACAUAUUUUUUAAAUAUAGGUAGAAUGGGUGUAUACCCAUUGUACACCUUUUAUACUCUCUUUGUACACUCUUUAUACCCCUUUGUACACCUUUUCUACUCACUUUAUACACACUUUGUACAUCCUUUCUACAUCUUUCUUCAUCUUUCUACACCCUUACUAAACCUUUUCUACUCUAUUUCUACACCUUUUCUAUAUCACUUCCAACCCUUUUAUAUAUCAUUUAUGUACCCUUCUGCACCAUUUCUAAAUUUUUUUAAAAUGAUGUAGAAUGAGUAUACACUCUUUGUGCACCAUUUAUUCACACUUUAUACACACUUUGUACACGAUUUCUACAUCUUUCUUCAUCUUCUUACACUCUUACUAAACCUUUUCAAGAGUCUUUCUAUACCCUUUUUACAUCAUUUCUAACCCAUUUAUAUACCUUUUGUGCAUCCUUCUGCAGCCUUUCUACAUAUUUUUUAAAAAGAGGUAGAAUGGGUCUACACCAUUUGUACACCCUUCAUACACCUUUGGUACACCCUUUACACACCUUUUAUAGAACGUUUGUAAACCCUUUGUACUCACUUUAUACACAUUUUGUACAUGAUUUCUACAUCUUUCUUCAUCUUCUUACACCCUUACUAAACCUUUUCAACAGUCUUUCUACACCUUUUCUACAUCCUUUCUAACCCAUUUAUAUAUAAUUUGUGCAUUUUCUACAGCCUUUCUACAUAUUUUUUAAAAAGAGGAAGAAUGCGUGUAUACCCUUUGUGCACCCUUAAUACACCUUUUGUACACCCUUUAUACACCCUUUAUAAAACACUUGUAAACCCUUUGUACUCACUUUAUACACACUUUGUACACGAUUUCUAUAUCUUUCUUCAUCUUCUUACGCUCUUACUAAACCUUUUCAAGAGUCUUUCAACACCCUUUCUACAUCCUUUCUAACCCCUUUAUAUACCAUUUCUGAACCCUUCUGCAGCCUUUCUACAUAUUUUUUUAAAAAGAGGUAGAAUGGGUCUACACCCUUUGUACACCCUUUAUACACCAUUUGUACACCCUUUAUAAACACUUUAUACAACAUUUGUAAACCCUUUGUACUCACUUUAUAGACAAUUUGUACACGAUUUCUACAUCUUUCUUCAUCUUCUUACACCCUUACUAAACCUUUUCAACAGUCCUUCUACACCCAUUCUACAUCGUUUUUAACCUCUUUAUAUACCAUUUGUGAACCCUUCUGCAGAUUUUCUACAUAAUUUUUAAAAAGAGGUAGAAUGGGUCUACAUCCUUUGUACACCCUUUAUACACCCUUGGUUCACCCUUUAUACACUCUGUAUACAACAUUUGUAAAACCUUUGUAGUCACCUUAUAUACACUUUGUACAUGAUUUCUACAUCUUUCUUCAUCUUCUUACACCCUUACUAAACCAUUUCAACAAUCUUUCUACACCUUUUCGACAUCCAUUAUAACCCCUUUAUAUACGAUUUGUGCACCCUUUUGAAACCUUUCUACAUAUUUUUUAAAAAGAGGUAGAAUGGGUCUACACCCUUUGUAAACCCGUUAUACAACUUUUGUACACCCUUUAUACAACAUAUGUAAACCCUUUGUACUCACUUUAUACACACAUUGUACACGAGUUCUACAUCUUUCGUCUUCUUUGUAUACCCUUACUAAACCUUUUCAAGAGUCUUUCUACACCCUUUCUACACCCAUUUUACAUCCUUUCUAACCCCUUUAUAUACCAUUUGUGUACCCUUCUGCAGCCUUUCUAGAUAUUUUUUAAAAAGAGGUAGAAUGAGUCGACACCUUUUAUACACCCUUUAUACACCUUUUGUACACCCUUUAUACACCUUUUAUACAACAUUUGUAAACUCUUUGUACUCAUUUUAUACACACUUUGUACAUGAUUUCUACAUCUUUCUUCAUCUUCUUACACUCUUACUAAACCUUUUCAAGACUCUUUCUACACCCUUUCUAAAUCCUUUCUAACCCCUUCAUAUACCAUUUGUGCACCCUUCUGCAGCCUUUCUACAUUUUUUUAAAAAGAGGUAGAAUGGGUGUACACUCUUUGUACACCCUUUAUACACCCUUUGUACACCCUUUAUACACCCUUUACACAAUCUUUAUAUAACAUUUCUAAACCCAUUGUACUCACUUUAUACACACUUUGUACACGAUUUCUACAUCUUUCUUCAUCUUCAUACACCCUUACUAAACUUUUUGAAGAGUCUUUCUACACCUUUUGUACAUCCUUUCUAACCCCCUUAUAUACCAUUUGUGCACCAUUCUGCAGCGUUUCUACAUAUUUUUAAAAAGAGGUAGAACGGGUCGGCACCCUUUGUACACCCUUUAUACACCCUUGGUACACCCUUUACAUACCCUUUAUACAACAUUUGUAAACCCUUUAUAUUCACUUUAUACACAUUUUUUCCAUGAUUUGUACAUCUUCCUUCCUCUUCUUACACCCUUACUAAACCUUUUCAGCAGUUUUUCUACACCUUUUCUAUAUCCUUUCUAACCCCUUUAAAGAUUAUUUGUGCACCCUUCUGCAAACUUUCUACAUAUUUUUUAAAAAGAGGUAGAAUGAGUCUACACCCUUUGUACACCCUUUAUACACCCUUUGUACACUCUUUAUACAACAUUUGUAAACCCUUUGUACUCACUUUAUACACACUUUGUACACGAUUUCUACAUUUUUCUUCAUCUUCUAACACCCUUACUAAACCUUUUCAAGAGUCUUUCUACCCCUUUCUACAUCCUUUCUAUCCCCUUUGGAUACCAUUUGUGCACCCUUCUACAGCCUUUCUACAUAUUUUUUAAAAAGAGGUAGAAUGGGUCUACACCCGUUGUACACCCUUUAUACACCCUUGGUUCACCAUUUAUACACCCUGUAUACAACAUUUGUAAACCCUUUGUACUCACCUUAUAUACACUUUGUACAUGAUUUCUACAUCUUUCUUCAUCUUCAUACACCCUUACUAAACCUUUUCAACAGUCUUUCUACACCUUUUCUACAUCCUUUCUAACCCCUUUAUAUACCAUUUGUGCACCCUUCUGCAAUCUUUCUACAUAUUUUUUAAAAAGAGGUAGAAUGGGUCUACACCCUUUGUAAACCCCUUAUACAGCUUUUGUACACCCUUUAUACACCAUUUAUACAACAUUGGUAAACCCUUUGUAGUCACUUUAUACACACAUUGUACACGAUUUCUACAUCUUUCGUCAUCUUCUUACACCCUUACUAAACCCUUUCAAGAGUCUUUCCAAACCCUUUCUACAUCCUUUCUAACCCCUUUAUAUAACAUUUGUGCACCCUUAUGCAACCUUUCUACAUAUUUAUUAAAAAGAGGUAGAAUGGGUCGACACCAUUUAUACACCCUUUAUACACCUUUUGUACACCCAUUAUACACCCUUUAUACAACAUUUGUCAACCCUUUGUACUCAUUUUAUACACACUUUGUACACGAUUUCUACAACUUUCUUCAUCUUCUUACACCCUUACUAAACCUUUUCAAGAGUCUUUUCCACCCUUUCUAAAUCCUUUCUAACCCCUUGAUAUACCAUUUGUGCACCCUUCUGCAGUCUUUCUACAAUUUUUUAAAAAGAGGUAGAAUGGGUGUACACUCUUUGUACCCCUUUAUGCACCCUUUGUACACCCUUUAUACACCCUUUAUACAAUCUUUAUACAACAUUUUUAAACCCAUUGUACUCACUUUAUACACACUUUGUACACGAUUUCUACAUNUUUCUUCAUCUUCAUACACCNUUAUUAAACCUUUUGAAGAGUCUUUNUACACCUUUUCUNNAUCCUUUCUAACCCCCUUAUAUACCAUUUGUGCACCAUUCUGCAGCGUUUCUACAUAUUUUUAAAAAGNGGUAGAACNNGUCAACACCCUUUGUACACCCUUUAUACACCCUUGGUACACCCUUUACACACCCUUUAUACAACAUUUGUAAACCCUUUAUACUCACUUUAUACACAUUUUUUCCACGAUUUCUACAUCUUUCUUCAUCUUCUUACACCCUUACUAA
rnacentral:lncRNA from 1 species